GUCGCUACUACCGAUUGAAUGGCUUAGUGAGACCUCCGGAUUGGCGCUUCGCAGCUGUUUUGCAGCAGCAGAGUGCUGAAAAGCUGGUCAAAUUUGGUCAUUUAGAGGAAGUAA
rnacentral:rRNA from 1 species